rnacentral:misc_RNA from 1 species
ACCCAGAGAUUUAUCUGAUGAAACGCCGCCAUCUAUUCCCGAGAAUGUUGGCCUCCAUAACUUUGAUGAGUCUGCGAUUUUGGCCUCCAAGCUUAGACAGCACCAGAUCAGUGGAGGUCCCUCUCCUGCAGCUGCGGCCACUGCUAAGCUCAUACUUCAGCAGCAGCUCAUGAUGGCCACGAGAGGAGGUGGGAUGCCUCAGAACGACGUAGUUGAUGGGUCUUCCUUCAAUUCUCCUACUCAGGGAGGAGAUGGGUCAGUGCAAGCGCUGUAUAGUAAUGGGUUUGGUGCUGGAUUUAUGCAUGGGACUGGGCAGCCAUCUAACCACUCUCAGCAGCAUUUUCACCAUCCUCAGGCACAAGGAGGGGCCCUGCAGGCACAGAACUUUGGAAACCCAGGGAUUACUACAGUGAUGAACCAAACUCAGGCAAGCGGGUCAACCGGUGGUGCACCGGCGCAGCCCAGACAAAGGGUGAGGGCUAGAAGGGGUCAAGCCACUGACCCACACAGCAUAGCUGAAAGGUUACGAAGGGAGAGAAUUGCAGAGAGAAUGAAAGCUCUGCAAGAACUGGUUCCCAAUGCCAAUAAGACAGACAAGGCUUCAAUGCUAGAUGAGAUCAUAGACUACGUCAAAUUCCUCCAGCUUCAAGUGAAGGUGCUGAGCAUGAGCAGAUUGGGCGGUGCAGCAGCGGUGGCUCCACUCGUUGCUGAUAUGUCCUCUGAGGGGGG